rnacentral:rRNA from 1 species
GUGGGGAAUAUUGCACAAUGGGGGAAACCCUGAUGCAGCGACGCCGCGUGAAGGAAGAAGUAUCUCGGUAUGUAAACUUCUAUCAGCAGGGAAGAUAAUGACGGUACCUGACUAAGAAGCCCCGGCUAACUACGUGCCAGCAGCCGCGGUAAUACGUAGGGGGCAAGCGUUAUCCGGAUUUACUGGGUGUAAAGGGAGCGUAGGCGGCGGAGCAAGUCAGAAGUGAAAGCCCGGGGCUCAACCCCGGGACGGCUUUUGAAACUGCCCUGCUUGAUUUCAGGAUAGGUAAGCGGAAUUCCUAGUGUAGCGGUGAAAUGCUUAGAUAUUAGGAGGAACACCAGUGGCGAAGGCGGCUUACUGGACUGACAAUGACGCUGAGGCUCGAAAGCGUGGGGAGCAAACAGGAUUAGAAACCCCAGUAGUCC